UGUGAGGGCCCUCGGCGGCCCGGCCGUGAGGGGAGCGGUGGCCGAAGGGCGCGGGGAGGAAGAAGGCGAGCCGACAUGGAGGAGCGGUCCCCUCCCGGCGGGGGCCCGGCGUUCCCCCCGCGGGGCUGAGGCGGCGGCCGCCCGCCCCGCGCCUCGGCGGGGCCAGCGGCGGGCGGCAGCCCCGGCCCGGCCCGGAGGAGGAGGAGGGCGGGCGAGGCGAGGGGACUAUGCGGGGCUGUCCGCGCCCCAGCGCCCUGUGUGCCCAGCCCGGCGAGCGGCGGAGCGCCGCGGCGCUGCCCGGCCGCCCCUCCGCCCCGGCGGCGGGAGGAGACUAGAGGCGAGUCUUCCCGGGGAGCCCCCGGUGGCCUUUCCCAGCCCUCGAGAGAGAGAGAGAGAGACCUAACUCCUGAGCCGGGGCUCUUCGGGAGGAAUUGACAAACAUGGCUUCCCCACCGCACCAGCAGCUGCUGCAUCACCACAGCACCGAGGUGAGCUGCGACUCCAGCGGGGACAGCAACAGCGUGACGGUGAAAAUCAACCCCAAGCAGCACCAGGGCUGCUCCUCUUCCAAGCACUGCAAGUACAGCAUCUCCUCCAGCUGCAGCUCGGGGGAGUCGGGGGGGACCCGCCGGGCCGGCGGAGGUGGCCACGGCAGCGGCCACGGCCUCCGCCGGCAGAAGAAGCUGCCGCAGCUCUUCGAGAGGGCCUCGUCCAAGUGGUGGAACCCCAAGUUCGACUCCAACAACCUCGAGGAGGCUUGCAUGGAGAGAUGCUUCCCGCAGACCCAGCGCAGGUUUCGCUAUGCCCUCUUCUACAUCGGCGUGGCCUGCCUUCUCUGGGGCAUCUACUUCGGCAUACACAUGCGAGAGAAACAGAUUGUUUUCAUGGUGCCGGCCCUGUGCUUCCUCUUGGUGUGUGUAGCCUUUUUUGUGUUCACUUUCACGAAGACUUAUGCCCGCCAUUACGUAUGGACUUCACUGAUACUCACCCUCCUGGUUUUUGCUUUGACUCUCGCUCCGCAGUUCCAGGCUCUGAAGCCUGUCUCAGGAAGUGGUGACAUGUCCAACCGGACUCUCCCGGCAGAUCCCACAGACACUUGUCUUUCUCAAGUAGGCAGUUUUUCUAUGUGUAUCGAAGUGCUCUUGUUGCUUUACACAGUGAUGCACUUACCCUUGUAUUUAAGCUUGUUCCUGGGACUGUCGUACUCGGUCCUCUUCGAGACCUUUGGUUAUCACUUCCGCGACGAGAACUGUUUUGCACCUCUUGGAGCUGGUGCGGUUUACUGGGAGCUGUUGAGUAAAGCCUUCCUGCACAUCUGCAUCCACGCCAUCGGUAUUCAUUUAUUUAUCAUGUCCGAAGUCAGAUCGAGAAGCACAUUCCUGAAAGUGGGGCAAUCCAUCAUGCAUGGAAAAGACUUGGAAGUGGAAAAAGCCCUGAAAGAGAGGAUGAUUCAUUCUGUUAUGCCAAGAAUAAUAGCCGAUGACUUAAUGAAGCAGGGGGAUGAUGAAAGUGAAAACUCCGUCAAACGUCAUUCCACCUCAAGCCCCAAAAACAAGAAGAAGAAGCCCUCCAUACAGAAGACCCCCAUAAUUUUCCGUCCUUUUAAAAUGCAGCAGAUAGAGCAAGUGAGCAUUUUGUUUGCGGAUAUUGUUGGCUUCACGAAAAUGAGCGCAAAUAAAUCUGCCCAUGCUCUGGUGGGACUCCUGAACGAUCUCUUUGGACGUUUCGACCGGCUGUGCGAGGACACUAAAUGUGAGAAGAUAAGCACUUUGGGAGACUGCUAUUACUGCGUAGCUGGCUGCCCAGAGCCCCGGGCGGAUCACGCUUACUGCUGCAUCGAGAUGGGCUUAGGUAUGAUUAAAGCCAUUGAGCAGUUUUGCCAAGAGAAAAAAGAAAUGGUCAACAUGAGAGUGGGUGUUCAUACUGGGACAGUCCUGUGUGGCAUUUUGGGAAUGAGGAGGUUCAAGUUUGAUGUGUGGUCCAAUGAUGUCAAUUUGGCCAACCUGAUGGAGCAGCUCGGGGUGGCUGGAAAAGUCCAUAUUUCGGAAGCUACUGCCAAAUAUUUGGAUGAUCGUUAUGAAAUGGAGGAUGGAAAGGUGAUUGAGCGGGUUGGUCAGAGCGUGGUAGCCGACCAGUUAAAAGCAAGACACCUCCUUGUUCAGUGUCCCUCAAGGAAUGGCUUUAUCGCCGAGUUUCUGUUAGAAGCCCUUGAAGAUACAGACAAGCUUUUCUCUCUAAUUUUGCUGUUUGCUUCAUCAUGGAAAAAAAGUUUGAAGACCUAUCUGAUCUCUGGCCAUAAAGUGAAGGAGCCCCACUGUAGCUGUUCCCAAGCCUUGCUUCCUGGCUUGGAGACCGGAGAAGGAGCCAGGAAACAGGGAGCAUGGUCAGCUGAGAACGCCGGGGACUUGACAAAGACUCUCAAACAUGCGGAAAAACCUAAGCCUUGCCCUUCAUGUAGUACCACCCUUGCUCCCCACUGCGAUGUCAGCAUAGACGAAGGAGCUAUCCAAAAUGGUUGUCAGGAUGAGCAUAAAAAUAAUACGAAGGCUACAGGAGGACACAGUCCAAAGACUCAAAAUGGACUUUUGAGUCCUCCCCAGGAAGAAAAGCUCAGCAAUAGUCAAACCUCGCUUUAUGAAAUGCUGCAAGAGAAAGGGAGGUGGGGCGGAGUGAGCCUGGAUCAAUCAGCUCUCCUUCCUUUGAGGUUCAAAAACAUCAGAGAAAAGACAGACGCUCACUUUGUGGAUGUGAUUAAAGAAGACAGCCUCAUGAAAGACUACUUCUUUAAACCACCUAUUAACAAGCUGAGCCUGAACUUCUUGGAUCAGGAUUUGGAGAUGGCCUACAGGACGAGCUAUCAGGAAGAGGUUAUAAGGAAUGCUCCAGUGAAGACAUUUGCCAGCGCUACUUUCAGCUCUCUCCUGGACGUGUUCCUCUCCACCACGGUCUUCCUCAUACUUUCCAUCACCUGUUUCCUGAAACACGGGAUGGUGGCAUCCCCUCCACCACCCGCAGCAGUCGUGGUGUUCAUCAUCGCCAUCCUGCUUGAGGUGCUGUCCCUUGUCAUCUCAAUUAGAAUGGCCUUCUUUCUGGAGGAGGUGAUGACUUGCACCAAGCGUCUCCUGGAGGUGAUAUCUGGCUGGCUGCCUCGACAUUUUUUCGGUGCAAUCCUGGUUUCUCUCCCAGCUCUUGCAGUUUUUUCACACUUCACCUCUGAUUUUGAAACAAAUAUACAUUACACCAUGUUUAUGUGUUGCGCAAUUCUCAUCACCAUUGUGCAGUACUGUAACUUCUGCCAGCUCAGCUCCUGGAUGAGAUCUGUGUUGGCAACCGUAGUAGGAGCAGUGCUUCUCAUCCUGCUCUACGUCUCCUUGUGUCCGGACAGCUCCGUGGAAACUUUUCAUCUAGAUUUGGCACAGAACUUUAGCUCCACAAAAAGUCCGUGCAACAGCUCGAUGGCAAAUGACAUGAAGAGGCCAGCAGACCUGAUCGGCCAGGAAGUGAUUUUAGUUUCCUUCCUUCUGCUCCUCCUGGUCUGGUUUCUGAAUCGAGAGUUUGAGGUCAGUUACCGCCUCCACUACCACGGAGAUGUGGAGGCUGAUCUCCAUCGCACCAAAAUUCAGAGCAUGAGGGAUCAAGCUGACUGGCUGCUGAGGAAUAUUAUUCCCUACCACGUGGCCGAGCAGCUGAAGGUUUCCCAGAGCUAUUCCAAAAACCACGACAGCAGCGGAGUAAUCUUUGCAAGUAUUGUGAACUUCAGCGAGUUCUAUGAAGAGAACUACGAAGGAGGCAAAGAGUGCUACAGAGUCCUGAACGAAUUGAUUGGGGAUUUUGAUGAGCUGCUGAGCAAACCGCAUUACAGCAGCAUUGAGAAAAUCAAAACAAUCGGGGCAACCUACAUGGCUGCUUCGGGACUGAACACCUCGCAGUGUCAGGACAGCAACCAUCCCCACGGACAUUUGCAGACCCUUUUUGAAUUUGCCAAAGAAAUGAUGCGAGUGGUGGAUGACUUCAACAACAACAUGCUGUGGUUUAAUUUUAAACUUAGGAUUGGCUUUAACCACGGCCCCCUCACUGCUGGGGUCAUUGGCACCACCAAGUUGUUGUAUGACAUUUGGGGUGACACUGUGAACAUUGCUAGCAGAAUGGACACCACCGGCGUCGAGUGUCGCAUACAGGUGAGUGAGGAGAGCUACCGCAUCCUAAACAAGAUGGGGUAUGACUUUGACUAUAGGGGGACGGUCAAUGUGAAGGGGAAAGGUCAGAUGAAGACCUACCUUUACCCAAAAUGCAUGGACAGUGGGAUCGUGCCACAUCACCAGUUGUCUAUAUCUCCAGACAUUCGGGUUCAAGUGGAUGGCAGCAUUGGGCGAUCUCCGACGGAUGAGAUUGCCAACCUGGUGCCUUCUGUACAGAAUUCUGAUAAGAUAGCCCAUGGCACAGAUAACUCAGAAACCAAGGACAUCCUUCCUUCCACCAAGAAGCUCCAGAAAGAUGCGGCGAGAGCAGAGGAGAGGUGCAGGUUUGGCAAAGCCGCGGAGAAGACUGACUGUGAGGAAGCGGGAACUGAGGAGGUCAAUGAACUGACAAAGCUAAAUAUCUCUAAGAGUGUAUGAUGCACUGUCAGAGUUGCAUGAAGUGCUCUGUCAAUAGAAACACAAAGACAUUUGCAAUUGGCAGUUUGCUUUUUCAAGAGAGACCUUCUCAACACCUGGGUUGUACGUUUGUUUUCAUUUCAGCGCCUGAUGCUGUGUGGAUCACAGCUCUUCAGGGCUUGUUUUCAUCCAUCUCUCUCCUCCAUGCCCCAAAUCACAUCCCAAGCUCCCCAGCUCCCUGUGCAACCAUCUUACAGCUGAGUAGAGGAUAUUAAGUGCCUUCAGAUAUACUCCAUUGGACUCCCUGUCAAGGUACAGAGGCCCCAAGUGAAAUCAUAGCUUUGGGUAUUUAUCUAAUUUUAAAGAAAAGAAAAGCUGUGGUUAUAUCAUUUUUAUUGUUGUUUCUCACAAAACACUUUUUUUGGCUAAUGCAACUCCUUGGGUUUUUUAUAUCUCUCUGAACAAUGUUUUACUGUUAACAGACCUUUUGUAUGUAAACACACAGACAAAUGUGCAUGUAUCUACCAUAUGAGACUGACAUAAAGUGCCAGUAACGUACCACAAAAGAAUGUCGUGGCGAGGGGGUGACAUAAUUUGACUCCAUGUUGGGCUGGAGGAGGAGUUCUGCAGUGGCUCAACAUUUAGGUAGAGUAGGCUGAACAACUGCUGUAGUUUUAUUCUCCUUUACCAAUGCUUUCUUCAACCUUAAUGUGCCAUUGUGUGCUUUGGAUACACUUCUUUUCCAUAUAGCCAAUGAGUUACUGAUCUGUGGGGAUGGAAUAAGGGUUCGGACUUCACCAGCUCUCAGGACAGGUUUCCAGAAGCAGAUGAGUGACCGCGAGAGUGUUACAAUUCAGGUCUUAAAGCAGUUUCGCAUUACUCCGUGCCCUAGCUGAAUUUGCGAAGUUUUAUAGACGACUCUACCCAGCAUUUCUCUCUCAUUGAUCCGCUGUUUGCGGUGGCAGAGUUCAGGCGAGAUGCUCCAGCUUCUCUCUCGCGUGAGACCCUGCACAAUACCUAAACCUCCACCAGCAACAGCCCCGCGUCCCCUGGGAGGUUUGCACCCUGUGAUGGAACCUGAAAGGAGAAGGUGCUGGAGCUGGGCCCCGCACCCAGAGCACCCUCCUCCUCCUCUCUCUCUCUUCAAGUAAUGCACUGCAGAAUACAAAAGCCUCAUCCUCCAGCCUAUAAAGUAAAGAACAGUCCCGUGCUGUCGUGGUAUGGUGCUGCGGGAGUAUUGUUGGUUUUCUGCUAACAUUAGAAUACCAAAAAAAAAAAAUAAAAUACCAGGGCCUCUGAUAUUUGUUGGCACAAAACAAAUAAAAUGACUGAGGACGGAAGUAUUAGUGGACUCUGAAAUCAAGGGCUGUUGUCUGCUCUGGGAACCGCCGGCAACGUUACUCUGCCUUAACUCUGAAGCUGGGAAGAGAGCCGUGAAAAGCUGAGUAACUCGUGGUAGCCCUGUGUGCUUAUUGCUACCAGGGCAGCAGCCAAGCCUUCAGCAACUCGGGCUGCGCGUCUUCUCUCGGAGAUUUUAAAUCUCCUCCUUAAUGCAGCAUAUUAACAAAACCAGGAAGCUAAGCUCUCAAUGUACCAUUUGGAUAGUGAGUUUUUCCCAGGCACGAGGAGCAAGGAGGUGCCUAUUUUCGAUUGUAAAACAGCGGGAGCUGAACCUUUACACCUUCCCUUCUCACGCCUUUGAAAAGAUGUUCCAAUACUCGCAAAAAUUGCUCCGGAGGCGUUUUUUAAGGCAUUGCGCGGUUCUGCGUUCCUCUCUGCAGCCAUGACACGUGUGCGCCUGCGGGAGGCCUUGAUCAAAGUUCAUUUCAUUACAAUAUCUUUUGGGCUUGUUCCGUUAGUGCCAGCACAAUUUGAACCCGGUAUAAAAGCGGAGGAGUUGGCCAGGUACCUGGAAGCGUAUUCUGCAAGAAUAACCAGAGCAUUGCUGCAUUUUGUAUUUGCAGGGUGUUUUAAUGGUGAUAAUUUAAAGAUUGUCCAGAGGAGGGGAGGCAAGGGGAAAGAUUGCUGAAUAUUUGCUAGCCCCAUGUUGCUUUCUGCCACGGUUCCCUCGCGGGAGCCCCUCUAGAGCACAGAAUAAUGAGGAAUAUGCUGAAUAUUUUCUGCAGUGUCGUCUUAAUCUGCUGCUAACACACAAAAAUGCUUCUUUUUCUCCCAGCUACUUCUGUGAGACAGAUUUCUUGUUCCAAAAAAAAAAAAAAAAACAAGUAAAUGACAUUCCCAUUGAUUUACUUCUGGCGUUGAUGAUUUUGAGAGAAGAACAGAUUUGCCUGUUAUUUCCCAGGAUUUGGGGCUGUUCCCGGUUGCUGGAGGUAAUGCGAGUGCUGCGAGCAGGGUGGGACGGUGCCGCUGCCUGACGCGGCUCCUGCCGUGUCCUAAUAUAAAGCACAAGAGGAUUAUUAAGAUAAAAUGAGGGGGGAGAGGGUGGACUCCUCAAGGGCUUUACAAAAAUUUAAGUAGUUGGAUACUCUUAUUUCAGGGCUAAAACAGAGAAAAGAGGCGCAUGGAACAAAAAUGAAAGGAGCUAUAAACCAAACACUGUACCUGUACCAGCGUUUAGUUAAAGACGAGCUUAUUCAUGAUUAAGAAGCCAAGCUUUUAGGGUAUCUGGCGUUUUAAAACUGUUAACUCUCACCUGUUCUUAAAACUUUAAUUCUGAACACAACAAAAAAAAUGUUGCAAGGGAGCAGUUACUGACGUCAUGCCUUUAUUUUGCAAUGUCACGGGAGGCUGAGAGCGCCCAAGAUUGGUUAUAAUGCAUUCAGCUGUUUAACUCUGCGUCUUGGGGUGGGGUUUUUUUGCCAAAUGUAAAGACCGUGUCUGUUUUCUUCAUUCUUCCCUGCUGGAGUCUUGUUUGCUCAGUCCGUCCGGGCCGGGCGAGUGGUUCUUGCCUCCCUGCUCCUCACCUUUGCUGAACUGCAUCUUCCGCACGGCACAGCGGCGUUUGAACCCUGCUGCUGCCAGGUCCGGGCUUCAGACGCUGCUUUCGCUGCUCUCUGCCUCUCUGCAUUUCCUAACGUAAAGGGGAAGAAUGCAUUUGGUGUUAUAUCUUGGUCCAUUUGUGACCAAAAGCUGCAGCUUUCUCCUUGUGGUGGUGUUGUUAAGCUGCUUGACAGAAGAUACAGAAGAGCAGCAGGCGCAUCCCAGUAGUUUAAAUUUAAGAAUUCUGUCAAAAAAUACAUUUUUCGUCACACCAGAAGUAGGAAAAAGAAGUUUUAUUACCUGGAGUUUUAGCAAGGGUGCAAAAGCAGAAGAGUGUAAGAAAUAAAACCCAGUGUUUGCUGUCAGCGUUGGGAUUCGCUGAAGUUCCUUUAAGUCUUGUUUUAGUUACAAAAGUGCUAAAAAUGCAGUAAUUGUUUAUUGAUGUGACUUUCCCAAUUGCUGAAGAUAUCUCGGGGGUGGUUUGACUGUCAAUACUGAAUCAUUUUCAUGUGGAAAGAGAAACAGUGGAGGCAGAGGUGCGGGGAUCCCCCUGAGCUCCCACCUCAAUGGCCAGGCCGCUGCGAAAACCCAGCUGGGGUCUCGGAGUGAUCCUGAGACCUGGCUGAGCUGUAUGUGGAACAUCAAUUUGGGCAGGAAAGUCAUUUAUUCCAAUGUUUUUUCCUUUUGAGUUCUCUACACAGGCUGUAGCAGUCCUUGUUUGGAUUUCUUGGGGGACAACAUGUAAGGAGAAAAACCUGAAUUAGUUUGCUGUUGCUGAGACUAUCUUCUGCAGUGGCAGUGAGAUUCUGCAAACUCCUGUAAAAAGUUGGGAAUUGUAACCAUUACAUGCUAAUUCCUGCAGAUGCUGUAGUUGCCCAGUAUCUAGUUUGCGUGCUGUGAUGGUCUGAAGAUUUUUCAGUCAAGAGCUGUGAAACCUUGGACCGUUUUCUGCUAAAAUGUAUCCAAAAUGUAAUGGAGAGGUGGAAGACCCUGGUCUGCAGAAAUGCAGCAGGAGCAGCAGAGGAUGCAGCAUAAAAACGGGGUUUUGGCUUACUGGGCAACCACAUGCAGCGCGGGAGAUGCUGUGAAUGAUAACAUGUGCUUCCAGGUCUGAAAUCAGGGAGAAAAGGGAGAAGGUAGAGCGUAAAACGAGGUGUCAGGUUGUUCUGAAGGCUGGUCUUUACUUUCCAGGUGUGGUGUCUCUGCUUGGCUGCUGCAGGGGAAGGUUUCUCGGGUGCGGAGCAGAGUCCUGGCUUCCCAGCGGGCCGAGCAAUGCAUGAUUUCUGUUGUGGGAUCCGGGAGCCUUAAAAUGUGCCUAUUUUUUUUUUUUUAAAUCUGCUUUAACGCCACCCUCUGAACUCUGUCCAGAGCGAUGAGAAGAAAAUCAGACACCAGGAGCUUAUUGUCUUUGUCUUAUUAGACUUCAUUUAAAAUCAAACAGCGGGCUCUGGAGAGGUUUGAGUAGAAAAUAAAGUAGGGGUGAAAUGUAUUGUGUCUUAACAGCGGCUCAGUUCAAGUGGUGCCGUGGGGAAGAGUUUUGAGGUGCUUUACAGACACUGGGUAAAGCUCUGGUAGGAAAAAAAAAAAUAAUGCAAGUUUUCUGUAUAAAACCUCUUUAAAAUCUUUAAGACAAGCUAAACUUUUUGUCUUCAGUGGGGAUGAGUGUCUGUACAACAUGUAUAGAAAUAUUCGUUACUUACAUUUGAAAGUCAACAUUGGCUUUUGAGAAAGAAGAUUAUUUUUGAAAAAAUAGGUUGGUAGAAGAUAUUUAAAGCUUUUUUUUUUUUUUCUUUCCCCCUGGUAAUUUAUUUUACCUGCUAGACAUUUACUCGCCUCACCAAGCUGGCGAGGAGCAGGAGGCAGGUGCCGGCGUUUCCACACACGCCGCUCUAGAGCCAACACAUUUCACAUCAUUUCACAGAAUCGUGGGGUUGGAAGGGACCUCUGGAGAUCAUCUCCUCCAACCCCUGCCAGAGCAGGGUCACCCAGAGCAGGUGGCACAGGAACGCGUCCAGGUGGGUUUGGAAUGUCUCCAGAGACGGAGACUCCACCACCUCUCUGGGCAGCCUGUGCCAGGGCUCUGCCACCCUCACAGCAAAGAAGUUCUUUCUCAUGUUUAGGCGGAACUUCCCAUGUUCCAGUUUGUGCCCAUUACCUCUUGUCCUGUCACUGGGCACCACUGAAAAGAGCCUGGCCCCAUCCUCCUGACACCCACCCUUUCAGUAUUUAUAAGCGUUGAUAAGGUCCCCCCUCAGUCGUCUUAUUUCCAGACUGAAGAGACCCAAAUCCCUCAGCCUUUCUUCAUCAGAGAGGUGUUCCAGUCCCCUCAGCAUCUUGGUAGCCCUUUGCUGUCCCCUCUCCAGCAGCUCCCUGUCCUUCUUGAACCGGGGAGCCCAGAACUGGACCCAGCGCUCCAGAUGUGGCCUCCCCAGGGCAGAGCAGAGGGGGAGGAUGACCUCCCUCCACCUGCUGGCCAUGCUCUUCUUGGUGCACCCAAGAAGAGUGUUUUCUAGCAGCUGUUCCACACAUGCGUCUCCAGGUUGGGAAUCGGUGUCGAGGAGGCAGUCAUUGGUGUUUUACACUUCUGGAAAGGCUCCAAGGCUGCUGUGUCGGCUUCUCACACCUUGACGCGGUUUGUUCUGCUCUCUCCCUGUUUUCUGGCUCACUGCAGCAACACAUAUUUUGAUUUGCAGAAGUUGGAGCGUUCACUGGAUCUGAAGAACUGCAGAGAAGGUCGUGGCUGGGAACAGUAAAAUUUUGAUUUUUGGCUCUAACCAGUGCAGUUCUAACCAACUUGUCAUCCAGCCAUGAGCAGUGGGAGUCAGAGCCGAGCAUCCCAGUAGGUGACGUCCCUGAUUUGAGCAUUGAUUUCCAAAUCCUCCUUUGACAAGUCAAAACAAAGCAACUUUCUCGAGUUUUUCCUUCUUUUCUCCCUUAGUCACUCAUGUCUUCACUUGUUUCUAACUUAAUGCAUUGGCUAAAUAUUAGUUUGCAAUUGAAAGACAGUUUGUAUCAAUUUGUUGUUGAGAGAUUUAAGCUCAGAGCAGGGAAAAUGCAGCGCGUGGUGCAUCUGUGGGCGUGCCCAGAGAGCAAACACCUCUUUAGUGUCUUUGAAACUUUGCCUUUAUUCAAGUGAGACCAGAGCUUUGUUUGAGAUUUAUUUCUAGUAUUAGCUGUGUAACUCCAUCUUGCUGUUGGCCUUAGAAAUUGCCCAAAGGAAGGAUUUUGCGGGAUCACAGUGGUCUGCGCCACGUCGCUGCCCGAACCAGGAUUUGACCACUGUCCAGGUACCGGCACGGCCCCACCGGCACCGUCAGACAUUUCUCUUAACCUUUAGAAGUCCACAGUUGCCAUAACCUUCCCCCCAAUUUUAAUUACUUCUAGUUUUCAGAGGCCGUGUUGAGAUAGGUAGAUAUAUGCUGGGACUUGUUAUACCCUACUGCGAGUACAGCUUUAAACUUCCAAAGUAAUAAACUCCUUAAAGCCAAGAGCCUUAACCAACUCCAAACGUCCGCUGAAAGGCAAAAGACCGUUUCAAGUUUGCGCCGAAUAUUUGGGAAUUUUUUCUGCUCCAUAGCGGGUGUCUCCUUCUUGCAAGGAGGCGGCGGCAGUAUCCAAAGAUGAUAAGGACCUUGGCCACCCUCACUGAAUCGCCCGGGAACAGGCAGGCAGGCUCUCCCCCCGCGCUCUCAGGAAAGUCACCUCGCUCCCCCAGGGCUGACGUGAUGGCUUUUAUAUAUUGCAUUACUCGGAAAAGCUCCUUCUUUCUGUGAAACAGUGUUUUUUAACUUAGCAUAAAGUGUUGUCUUUGCUGGCGGCAGGGGCUGGAUUCCUCCUUUCCCACCCCCAGACUCUCUUGGUCCGGCAUUGAGAUGGAGGAGGCGGGGAUGUAGGUGAUGGGAAAGCCAGGUGAGUCAGGGAAGGAGUUGGACGUGCCGCUGGCGCCGGACCCAGCAGAGGAGCUGCCGCGUGGCUCCCAUAGCAGUGCCGGGCUUUGGCAGCCGCGGGCUGGGCAGUCGCUCCCCGAGCUGGCGAGGUGACACAGGUUGGGGGAGGUUUGCUCUGGGGCCAGCGUCCCGCUGCCCUGCUGGGUUGAGCUGGUCCGCGGUCAGCCCGACGGCUGUCGGAUGCCUUUGUCAAUCCGUCUUCCCUCCUGGCCUAGUGGUUUCCUUUCACGUUUUCACGGGAGUAAAUUUCAGCCAGUUAUUAAAGCCGUGGAGGUGCUGCUGUCUGACCAUGGCGGGUUGGGGUUGGGUCUGUCCAACCUCAGUUUAUGCAGUAUUACACCUACACGCGACCCCUAUAUAAGCAAUUCCUGUGCGUCAGGAGCCGCGGUACCCGAUUACAGCCUGCAAGAAAUUAUUUUCGAAGUGAGAAACUCAAAUCAGGGUUGGCUUUGGUGUUCGGGCAGCGGUGCAGGCCCAUGGCCGGCGCGGACUCCCCGCCAUCCCCUGCUGUCUUUAAAAACUGCCUCCACAGUGUUACCCGAGACUCCGGCACUGCCUGGCCUUGCACAAGCGCACGUGGAGAUUGUACAGAAUUGAGAACGUUACUAUGAAUUGAAACAUUAAUUGAGAACAGUUUCCGGUUAAAAAGAAAGCGGGGGGGGGGGAAGGCAAAUUAAACCAUUUUAAAGUCUCCAGGUUAGCUGGAAAUUGUUUCUUCAUGACGUUUCUGUUUCCUUUCUCUUCCCACCCCAGCGAAGCCCGUGUUCCCGCUACCUUCUCCCCAACCUUCUUGCAAAAAGAGAGAGAACGGGUCUGUUUACACGCCGCGGGGGAAGCUGGCAGCUUCUGCCGGGGGCUUUGCUGGGGGACGGGGCUUCCUCGCAGCGGCUUCACUGUAAAUAGUCUGCCUUUUGCUUCGUUGACAAAACCGAAAUGGAAAAAAAAAAAGUUGUAUCUGUGAAAUAUUAAGCUAUAUAUGUAUAUAGAUAAAAACGCGUAUUAUCUCUGACUCGUUACUACGGCUCUGUAAUCAAUUGUAUAUUAAACUGUUUUACUGUAUUGGCAGAUCAUUUCACGCUAUCUUAGAUGUAGAAAAGCUGAGAAAGUAAUUCACAAUACACUAUGUCAACUUAAAAUUGGUUUGCUUUUUUAUUUUGGCUCCAGCACGACUUCAAACACAGUCCCGUGCCGUUUGCACAUUGUCUCGAAGAAUAAUAGUUUGGAACAGAAGUUUUUUCAGCCCUUUGUUUUGGAUCUGGCUUUUUACCAUGUUUCUUUGAUAAAUCACAAAACCGCCGAGUUAAUUUUUUGAUGAGGUGCAUAUUUAGAAGGCAUUUUAAAUGUGAAAGGAAUUUGUCACGCACACCCGCUGCACUUUGAUGUGUCGGUUGGCAGUGAAUGACCUUCCUCUUCCCAAAGCUGGUGGAGAAGACGACUCCUUCCUAAUUUUUCCUCAUUUUAAUACCACUCUAAGCUGUUGGGAAGGGGCUGUGCAGCAGCAGCACCUCUGCCACCGUGGGGUUGUUGCUGCUGGCCGUGGUGGGAGGUCCCAGCAGAGCUUUUCCACGUGGGGAGCUUGCGUUGGCCAAAAUUGGGGAUGAGUUCUAAAUAGGUUUGGUUUUGUUUUUUACUUUAGCAGAGAGCGUGGAUGGUUUAUUCUGGAAUCCCAGUGCCUUAUGCAAAUUAGGCCGCUUGGAAAAUGGAGUGAGGCAUUGUUGUUCUGGAGUAAGAGUCCACAGAGAAAGAAAUGGCUGACCAGGAGCGGCUGGCACGAGGAGCCGUAAAUCCUUUCAAAAUCUCACCCUGUGCGGCUGAACAGAGCCGAAGGUGUUGGACUGCUGCGGGCGGCUCCGCAGCAAACCCCAUGUCUGUCUGUCCCUCUCUCUGUCUCUCACCCCCCCGCCUCCCUCAGGGUCUCGUCUGUUCGUUGGGUUUCACUGGGGGAAAAAGAAAAAACCCCUAAUGAAGUCCUGAGCCCUUGCAAAGUGAGGUUUCCACCUGGAAGGUCUGCAGGUUUCCUCUGGAUCCGUGCUCUGCUCCUCUCCCUCUGCCGCUGAGGAGCACGGAGCGGCAGCGCCAAACCCUGCUCUUCCUGGCCCCUGCUGACAGCGGGGCCCUGUGGCCGUACACUUUUAUACAGGUCCAGCCGGGUGCCCGCGUUUCCCUGCGCUCCCCUCCGGUCGCAAGAGCUUUGUCCUGGAAUCGCAGAGAGGUCAGUCUGCUUUUUCCAAGAGUCUUGAUUUUAUUGCUUUCCCUCAUAUUUUAAAUAGAGGAGGGGUUUCCCAAAGACAAGGUAAGUACUGGAGCACACGCGUGGUACGAUGGGCUCCGCAGCCAGCGGUCGCACCGCGUGACUCGAUGCCAGCCCCGGGUGUUCAUGCCAUUAGGUGUGUGUCAGCCACACUCGGGUGUUCCUGUGUGUUUGCCUUCUGUGGCAGGCGAAAACUGUUCCAGUGUUAUCCAGCCGCGUUCCUAUUGUAGACCGUGGUGAUUGUCAACUGCCAAGGGAUAUUUUUUAAUAAAUCUUAUCAAGGUGUUUCAAAUAAAUCCCGUCUCCCCAUUUUCCUUCUCAGUU